rnacentral:rRNA from 1 species
UGGGGAAUAUUGGACAAUGGGCGCAAGCCUGAUCCAGCCAUACCGCGUGGGUGAAGAAGGCCCUCGGGUUGUAAAGCCCUUUUGUUGGGAAAGAAAAGCAGCCGGUUAAUACCCGGUUGUUCUGACGGUACCCAAAGAAUAAGCACCGGCUAACUUCGUGCCAGCAGCCGCGGUAAUACGAAGGGUGCAAGCGUUACUCGGAAUUACUGGGCGUAAAGCGUGCGUAGGUGGUUGUUUAAGUCUGUCGUGAAAGCCCUGGGCUCAACCUGGGAAUUGCGAUGGAAACUGGGCGACUAGAGUUUGGCAGAGGGUAGUGGAAUUCCUGGUGUAGCAGUGAAAUGCGUAGAGAUCAGGAGGAACAUCCGUGGCGAAGGCGACUGCCUGGGCCAACACUGACACUGAGGCACGAAAGCGUGGGGAGCAAACAGG